ensembl:lncRNA
AUGCUGCAGGAGAGGAAGGUACUGCAGGAGUACUAGUGGUAUUAUGCUGCAGGAGAUGAGGGUACUACAGUAGUACUAGUGGUAUUAUGCUGCAGGAGAUGAGGGUACUACAGUAGUACUAGUGGUAUUAUGCUGCAGGAGAGGAAGGUACUGCAGGAGUACUAGUGGUAUUAUGCUGCAGGAGAAGAGGGUACUGCAGUAGUACUAGUGGUAUUAUCCUGCAGGAGAUGAGGGUAGUACUAGUGGUAUUAUGCUGCAGGAGAGGAAGGUACUGCAGUAGUACUAGUGGUAUUACGAUGCACAAGAGGAAGGUACUGCAGUAGUACUAGUGGUAUUACGAUGCACGAGAGGAAGGUACUGCAGUAGUACUAGUAGUAUUGUGAUGCAGGAGAGGAGGGUGUUUUAGUAGUACUAGUGGUAUUACGAUGCACGAGAUGAGGGUACUGCAGUAGUACUAGUGGUAUUACGAUGCACGAGAGGAAGGUACUGCAGUAGUACUAGUGGUAUUACGAUGCACGAGAUGAGGGUACUGCAGUAGUACUAGUGGUAUUGUGAUGC